rnacentral:tRNA from 1 species
GCCUUGAUGGUGAAAUGGUAGACACGCGAGACUCAAAAUCUCGUGCUAUAACGCGUGGAGGUUCGAGUCCUCUUCAAGGCA